UGCCAGCCGCCGCGGUAAUACGGAGGAUGCAAGCGUUAUCCGGAUUUAUUGGGUUUAAAGGGUGCGUAGGCGGGGCAAUUAGUCAGUGGUGAAAUCCUGCGGCUUAACCGUAGAAUUGCCAUUGAUACUGUUGCCCUUGAGUAUAGUCGAAGUGGGCGGAAUAUGUAAUGUAGCGGUGAAAUGCAUAGAUAUUACAUAGAACACCAAUUGCGAAGGCAGCUCACUAAGCUAUCACUGACGCUGAGGCACGAAAGCGUGGGGAGCGAACAGGAUUAGAUA
rnacentral:rRNA from 1 species